CCCUCUCUUCUCCCUUAGGUGUCUCACAUUCCCUUCUCUUGGGCAUCCCACCUCUUCAUGCCCACAAGGGCCUUAGGCAUCCACCUCCUUUGCUGGUUUUUAGUCCCUGGUAAUAGCAUAAAUCAAGGAGGAAAAAGCAAGAGAAGAAGAAAAGAAGAAGAUCAAGGAUGGAGAUCAAAGAGUUGAUUGCAAUCCAAGCUUCGUUCAGAUUCACAGGCUGAAUUUUCUUAGAAAAAAAAAUUAAUCUUAAGAAGGCUAUUUCAGGUCGAUCCUGAGUGGAUACCCAUAGAGGC
rnacentral:lncRNA from 1 species